GAGCUUGCUUAACAGCAUGUAUACUAAAAUUGGAACAAUACAGAGAAAACUAGCAUGGCCCCAGCACAAGGAUAGAAUGAGAUUUUUUCCAUAUUUUU
rnacentral:snRNA from 1 species